AACGAACGCUGGCGGCAUGCCUAACACAUGCAAGUCGAACGAGACCUUCGGGUCUAGUGGCGCACGGGUGCGUAACGCGUGGGAACCUGCCCUUAGGUUCGGAAUAAAUCCCCGAAAGGGGUGCUAAUACCGGAUAAUGUCUUCGGACCAAAGAUUUAUCGCCUUUGGAUGGGCCCGCGUUGGAUUAGCUAGUUGGUAGGGUAAAAGCCUACCAAGGCGACGAUCCAUAGCUGGUCUGAGAGGAUGAUCAGCCACACUGGGACUGAGACACGGCCCAGACUCCUACGGGAGGCAGCAGUGGGGAAUAUUGGACAAUGGGCGAAAGCCUGAUCCAGCAAUGCCGCGUGAGUGAUGAAGGCCUUAGGGUUGUAAAGCUCUUUUACCCGGGAUGAUAAUGACAGUACCGGGAGAAUAAGCGCCGGCUAACUCCGUG
rnacentral:rRNA from 1 species